GGCUGCUAUGAAUAUAAUGGAACAUGUGUCCUUAUUACCAGUUGGAACAUCUUCUGGGUAUAUGCCCAGGAGAGGUAUUGCUGUAUCUUCAGGUAGUACUAUGUCCAGUUUUCUGAGGAACCUCCGGACUGAUUUCCAGAGUGGUUGUACCAGCUUGCAAUCCCUCUAGCAAUGGAGAAGUGUUCCUCUUUCUCCACAUCCUCGCCAGCAUCUGCUGUCACCUGAAUUUUUGAUCUUAGCCAUUCUGACUGGUGUAAGGUGGAAUCUUAGGGUUGUUUUGAUUUGCAUUUCCCUGAUGAUUAAGGAUGUUGAACAUUUAUUCAAGUGCUUCUCAGGCUUUUGGUAUUCCUCAGUUGAGAAUUCUUUGUUUAACUCUGUACCCAAUUUUUUAAUGGAGUUAUUUGAAUUUCUGGAGUUCAGCUUCUUGAGCUCUUUGUAUAUAUUGGAUAUUAGUCCCCUAUCAGAUUUAGGAUUGGUAAAAAUCCUUUCCCAAUCUGUUGGUGGCAUUUUUGUCUUAUUGAGAGUAUGUUUUGCCUUACAGAAGCUUUGCAAUUUUAUGAGGUCCCAUUUGUCAAUUUUUGAUCUUACAGCACAGGCCAUUGCUGUUCUGUUUAGGAAUUUUUCCCCUAAAAAAUUGGAGGGUUUUCCCCACUUUCUCCUGUAUAAAUUUUAGUGUCUCUGGUUUUAUGUGGAGUUCUUUGAUCCACUUAGACUUGAGCUUUGUACAAGGAGAUAAGAAUGUAUCAAUUCUUAUUCUUCUACAUGAUAACCGCCAGUUGUGCCAGCACCAUUUGCUGAAAAUGCUGUCUUUUUUUCCAGUGAAUGGUUUUAGCUCCCUUGUCAAAGAUCAAGUGACCAUAGCUGUGUGGGUUCAUUUCUGAGUCUUCAAUUCUAUCCCAUUGAUCUAUCUGUCUGUUGCUGUACCAGUACCAUGCAGUGUUUAUCACAAUUGCUCGGUAGUACAGCUUGAGGUCAGGCAUGGUGAUUCCCCCAGAGGUUCUUUUAUUGUUGAGAACAGUGUUUGCUAUUCCAGGUUUUUAAAAAUACAAAAUUAUAUAUUUUGUAUAAACAACAAGGCACACUUCAUCUCUCAUUGAUCCAUUCUAUUUUCAUAAAGUGGACUUACUAAUAUGAAGUAAAGAGGUAAAUUUUUAAGAAUUCCUCUUAAAUGAUGAAAAAUUCUUAGUUUUGGAACAUAAUUCUGCAUUCUCCCAGCUUUUAUCCAAGGGGAAUUAUGUACACAGUGUUUCCUGUCAUGAACAGGAUAACUGUCCCUUAAGGGCCUAGAUACAGAGGGAGAUACUGAUCCUUCACAGCACCAGUUCAAUUUCUCUACUGACCUUUAUUAUGAAGAAUGGCUGAUAAGUAUUGUAGCUUAAGAGUAAAGAGCUAUGUAUUCUAUCAAGCUACUUUGUAAAUAUAUCCAUAAAUUUUGGGGGUUUUUUGUUUGUUUAUUCUGGUUAAUAUAAUUUGCCCGUUUUUUUUUUCUUUUUCUUAUUCACUUAAAAUAUUAUUCUCUCCUCCCCUCCUGGUAAUGCCUUUCCACAAUCCUUCCCACAUCUCCUCUCCCCUUCUCCUCUGAGCAGGUGGGGUCCCCUAGAUAUCCCACACUCACCCUGGCCCUUCAAGUCUGUGUGAGGCUAAGUGCUUCCUCUCCCUCUGGUGUCAGACAAGGCAGCCCAGCUAGUAAAGCAUAUGCCACAUACAGGCAACAGCUUCUGAUAUAGCUCCUGUUUCAGUUGUUUGGAACCCACUGUGUGGUUAAGCUACAGAUCUGCUACAUAAGAGCGGGAGGCCAAGGUCCAGCCUAUGUAUAUUCUUUGGUUGGUGAUUCAGACUCAAAGAGCCCCAAGGGCCUAGGUUAGUUGACCUGGUUAGUCUUCCUGGGGAGUUCCUAUCCCCUUCGGGGCCAGCAAUCCUACAGCCUAUUUUUCCAUAAGAAUUCCCAAGCUCCAUCCAAUGUUAGGCCAUGGGUGUUUGUAUCUGUCUGAGUCAGCUACUUGGUUGACCCUCUCAGGGGACAACAGGCUCCUGCCUGCAAGCACAACAGAAUAUCAUUGAUAGUAUUAGGGAUUGGUGCUUGCCCAUGUAAUGGGUCUCAAGUUGGGCCAGUUAUUGUAUGGUAAUUUCUUCAGUCUAUGCUCCAUCCCCCGUAACUACAUUUCUUGUAGACCGGAUAAAUCUAGAUUGAAAAUUUUAUAACUUUUGAAACAAAAAUUUAUGGGAGCUUGUGUUUGAUCUCUUAUGUGGCCUUACUCUUUCUGCAUAUAUUGUAGUCUUAACAUACCAUCUUCUUAUUAAAUCUUUGAACUCACAGCCUUGGAAAAAAUAUCACAUUUGAAAGCUGCAAAAACUAAUAGGAUACAAAUAACCUCUGUUUAAAGAUUGUGCCUUUGUGACAUUAUUAUUUCCUCUGUAACAUUUGCUUUGAAAGUAGUCUGAAUACUGUAAAUAUAUUUUUAAAUUAAGGGUCUCACUUAGAUAACCUAAAAAAAAAGUGAUGUACUCUCCUUUCUGCCAUCGAUCCUUCCAUAUUCUCUCUUUAUUGAAGUAAAUGUAAUUUAAUCCUUGUCUCUAAAUUCUGAUACUAAUUUCACAAACAUUUCAUCAUAAGCAUAACAAUAUUCAAGUUUUAAGUAAAGAUGAAUAACAAGUGAGGCACUUAGAGAAAUGUAAAACCUUUGGAUGGAAGUGACUAGCUAUUACAUCACCCAAUCCACAGAGAAAUGAUUAGUUUUUGUUUUGUUCAUUUUUGAUACAUGAUGAACCUAUUAUUAUGUAAAUUAUGGGUUAGAUUGUUUUCUUUAACUACCACAGAAAAUAUCAUCUAUCUUUGGUUGAAUAAAAUUAAGUUAAGCUCAAAUAUUUAUCUUUUAUAGAUAGAUCCCACAUCAGAAUAUUAUACUGGUCCUUUACUGUGGCAAGUGAAGUGCUGUUUGUUUGAGGUCUUUAAACAAGUAUGGUGAUGUUCAAACAGUUCUGUGAGCUUAUCAUUUUAUCUAUCAUCUAUCUGUCUAUCUAUUUAUCUAUUUAUUUAUUUGAUUUCACAGAAGAAUUUAUUUCUGGAAGGUGGAAGUUAUUUUAUAAUUUAGUGUAACAUUUCCAAAAAGUUACUUAAUGGUUUUCUCUUAGACAAGCCUACUUUUUUUUGGCAGGAGAUCUACAAAAUUUCAUAGAACACGCCUAACAUACACUCAAAUAUUAUCCUUUUUUCCAAUAUUAUUUGGCUCUAUCACAUUCACUUUGAAAAUGGACUGAAUUCGAGUUUAGUGAUGCAUGCCUUUAGUUCCAGUAUAUGGGAGACAAAGGCAGGUGGGUUUCUUUGAGUGUGGGGGCAGCCUAGUCUACAUAGCAAGCUUCAGGAAAGCCAAACGUACAUAGUGAGACCCUCUCCUCAAAAAAACAACAAUAACAACAAAACCCAAACAACUUCCCCCAAAAUAAAGAAAGCAAAAGAAGAAAAGAAAGUAAAGUGAAUGAUUUAUUUAAAUGUUUCAUUAAGGGUCUGGUUGACUAUUGUGGCGUUGAUUGACAUAUUGUGGGACAUUUUUAGUGGGUGUUAUCUUUAUUUUUGUUAUUGUUGCUGCUUUUGUUUGUUUGUUUGUUUUUCCAACAACACCACAAAUGUUUCUUUUCCUCCCAGCAUUUCAGUCCUAAUGUAUUUUGUUGCAUGGGAGGUGGGACAGAUUAUUUUUAAUCCCUACAUUUAGAAAUGAAAGAUAUGUAUUUUCUCAGAUGACAUACAUUAAAGUGUCCCUGUGCUUAUAAAGAAAAUUUGAAAAUGGCAUCAAUUUGAAGGUGCAGCCUUGAGACUUGAGGCAUUCAGGGCAGGCAUGAAGGAGAUAUGGCACCAGAGAAGGAGUUCGCAUGCUAAACAUGCUUCAUGAAAGAAGACUAAGGAAGGCUUCUGAAUAGAAGAAAUGCAAAGGCAGAGUGUUUGCAAGCAUCCUUGCAGGUCUGGCGCACUGGCUGGCCAUAAUCUCCAUUGAUUCCUAUUUGGCCCAUUAAUGUAAUGGGAGAACCUGGCUGAAAGUAAGUUUCAAAGUGGGUUCUAAUUCUAUUUAAAGACUGUAAUGCAGCUGACUAAUUACCUCAUGAAGGCUAGGCUAUUUCUGUACUGCCAGAACUGAAGAGAGGGGUUCACAUCUCUCUGUCGGUCUCUUGCCUUUGUAGAUCCUGUAAAGAUCAUGGUCUUGUGCAGAUUUCCUAAUGACAUUGAAAGAAGAUAAAAAAAAAAUUACAAAGAAAUCAAUAGCUUAACAUUUUAUGUAACUAUAGAGUCUGUAAUUAAAGCUACCCCGUAUUCUGGGCCUGGAGGCUUACUUUGUUCACAUUCAUUCCUAAGUUAUGAACUCACAAUCAAACCUGAAGCUGAAGAAAGUGUGGCCAUAAGAAUCUCAGAAACCAUCAUUAUUAUUAUUAUUAUUAUUAUUAUUAUUAUUAUUAUUAUUAUUAUUUACAAACUGGAGAUAUUUUCGACACCCCCCCUCGUGUAUGUGUGUGGGGGGGAGUUUUUUUUUGCUAACUCUGUAGAGCCAUUUCUGUGUAGCCUGAUCAUACUCAUUUGCAUUUAAAAGUUAGGAUUUCUCUGUUUGAAAUUUAAGACUGUCAUAGUGAUGACAUUUUUUUACUGCUUGCAGUUUGACAAUUCAUAGUCCUGUUUAUCUUGAGGUUAACUGGAGGUCUCAGAACACAGCUAAUUG
rnacentral:lncRNA from 1 species